CAUAAUUUCAAAAUGGCUGACAUUCGCUGGCUGCUGCUCUACGUCAACUUUUAAGCAUGUUUACAUGUAAAUAAGGGUAUGGCAGCAACUAAUAAUGAAUUGUAAAACUAUUUACGGAUAAGUGCUAUCGAUUUAACGUAAUAAUAGAACUUUUAUGAAGUUAUUUAUGAAGCAAUCAGCCUUCGAUGUUCGUACAUAGAACUUUCGUACCUAGUGUCAGGCAAGAUAAAAAAUUACAACAAGGAACAAUUUCAACAAAUGUCUGGAUACCACAAUAUGAUUGUAACAUUUGAAUUGAAGUCAGACACCUUACUGUACCACCAUGCAACUGUAUCAUCUAUCUUCCGUAACCGCCGAACCCCUUUCGGUGACGUAGACGUUGUUCGUCAGUAUAUAGAUAAUUUUAGUGAUAGAGCAGCCCUUUUUUAUGGUUUGGCAGAUUCCCUAGAGAGCUGCAUUGGGAAGUAACAGUAAAGCAGAAUACCUACAGUCCAUAAGUUGAGAAAUGAAGAAAUGCAGCUCUGAAUUGUUUAAUACGGUGUGUGGGGAAAACAUUGUGGAUAUGAAGCAUAGAAAUCAUGUAUCAAUUUGAAGUAACAGUAACACAGAAUGGCUGGAGACCAUUAACUUAAGAACUGAAGAGAUGCAGGUCAUUGUUCUAUAUGGUGAUUGGUGGAACUAUGGCGCAGUUUUGAAUUGAUAAGGUGUGAAGUUACAGAAAAGCAGAAUAGCUACAGACCAUGAAAUUUAGAAAAUGAAAAGAUGCAUGUCUCAGUUCAGCAUGGUGUAUAUGGGAAACAUUGUGUAUGGCAGACCUCUGUUCAACAUGGUGUAUAUGGGAAACAUUGUGGGUCACAGACCUCUGUUCAACAUUGUGUAUAUGGGUGGGUCGCGGUCAUGAAAUGAUUUGUGUGAAGUAACAGUAAAGCAGAAUGGCUACAGACAAUUAGUUCAGAACUGAAGAAGAGAUGCAGGUCUUUGUUCUAUAUGGUGUAUGAGGGAACCAUGGUGGAAAUUUGGAUUUCAUGGCAGUUAUAGAAAUAUCUAAUAAGUCUGUAGGAAAGUGAUGUGUGUACCAGUCUGUCAGACUUUUACCUGUCUGUCCAGUCGACAAAUUCGCAAUAGAUGCGUAGAUUCUCAAAUAAUUUGGCAGAGUUUUCACAGUUACUAAGACAGAUUGCAAAAGUUUUUGUACCCAAAACCCUGAAAUGAGAGCGCUUGCACAAUGUGAAGUUUGUCGCAUAGAAGGGGAUUCACCGCCUUUGUGUAUAUAAGUCUACAAAUUCUCAGAUUUGACUGAAGACAAUUGUUUGGUGUUGUGAAUAGAGAAAUAUAUGAGGUAGGGCAGUUUUCCAUAAACACAACAAGAAGUUCACAUUUGUUGCACAGAUUUGUGUCUCUCAUGUGUGGAGUUGAAGGAAUUGUUAUAGGAAAAGUCUACAGAAUAUAUAGCCAAACACCUUCCCCAGGAUUCCAUGAAGCAACCUUCUGAUAGAAAGAUUUACCCGUUGUGCAAAGGGGAUAAGCUGGCUUGGUGACAGGAAAAAGGAAAGGAAAAUGGCCCCAGGAAAGACAAACUACAGUAGAUACAAGUUGCUAAGGACAAGAAUGUCUGUUAUUCAUGGAAACAUCAGAGUUCAGCAGGUUCUUGAAACAGGCCAUUUGAAAUCAGAGACUAUCAGUACAUUUUUGGUGAUCAUUUGACGAGGCCAGUUGUAGUGUUUUAAAAUGAGACAGGAAAAGUACAUGUAUAUACUCUGCACCAUGGUUACAGAUUUGCAGUAUCAACCAGCAUCCACAGCCAUUCUAAAUAUAGGACCAACACAAUCAGACAAGCUGGCAAAAUGUUCAAGGGUGGUAACAUGCUGCCCAAGAUUCUAGUCUGGAGAUACCAUCAGUCAUCUUAGAAUGUUUUUUUUAAGAUUUAAGAAAAAUGUGACAUUGACUUAAGACUACAUUUUUACUGUUUUCAGCCAAAGGCUUUUCUCUGGUUUUUUUUUUUUUUUUUU
rnacentral:lncRNA from 1 species